rnacentral:rRNA from 1 species
UGAGUGCGAGCUGCUACGGCAGCGAAGUUGGUGAUGUCAUGCUUCCAAGAAAAGCCCUAUACCCGUUAAGGCAUCAUGGCCUGUACCCGAAACCGACACAGGUGGGGUGGUAGAGAAUACCGAGGGGCGCGAGGUAACUCUCUCUAAGGAACUCGGCAAAAUGGCCCCGUAACUUCGGGAGAAGGGGUGCCACCGCAAGGUGGUCGCAGUGAAGAGGCCCAGGCGACUGUUUACCAAAAACACAGGUCUCCGCUAAGUCGCAAGACGAUGUAUGGGGGCUGACGCCUGCCCAGUGCCGGAAGGUUAAGGAAGCUGGUCAGCGCAAGCGAAGCUAGCGACUGAAGCCCCGGUGAACGGCGGCCGUAACUAUAACGGUCCUAAGGUAGCGAAAUUCCUUGUCGGGUAAGUUCCGACCCGCACGAAAGGCGUAACGAUCUGGGCGCUGUCUCGGAGAGAGGCUCGGCGAAAUAGAAUUGUCUGUGAAGAUGCGGACUACGUGCACCCGGACAGAAAGACCCUAUGAAGCUUUACUGUAGCUUGGUAUUGUGCCCGGGCUCGCAAUGCGCAGGAUAGGUGGGAGGCUUUGAUCAUCGGCUUGCGGGUCGAUGUGAGCCAACGGUGAGAUACCACUCUUUGCGAGCUAGGGUUCUAACGGCCACCCGUCAUCCGGGGGCCGGACAGUACCUGGUGGGCAGUUUGACUGGGGCGGUCGCCUCCUAAAAGGUAACGGAGGCGCGCAAAGGUUUGCUCAGGCUGGUUGGAAAUCAGCCGACGAGUGUAAAAGCAGAAGCAAGCUUGACUGUGAGACCAACAAGUCGAACAGGGAGGAAACUCGGCUUUAGUGAUCCGACGGUUCUGAGUGGAAGGGCCGUCGCUCAACGGAUAAAAGUUACUCUAAGGAUAACAGGCUGAUCUCCCCCAAGAGUUCACAUCGACGGGGAGGUUUGGCACCUCGAUGUCGGCUCAUCGCAACCUGGGGCUGAAGUCGGUCCCAAGGGUUGGGCUGUUCGCCCAUUAAAGCGGUACGCGAGCUGGGUUCAGAGCGUCGUGAGACAGUUCGGUCCAUAUCCGGUGCACGCGCAGGAAUAUUGAGAGGAUUUCUCCCAAGUACGAGAGGACCGGGAGGAACGCACCUCUGGUGUACCAGUUAUCGUGCCAACGGUAAACGCUGGGUAGCCAUGUGCGGAGUGGAUAACCGCUGAAAGCAUCUAAGUGGGAAGCCCACCUCAAGAUGAGUAUUCCCAUGGCGUAAGCCAGUAAGGUCACGGGAAGAACACCCGUUGAUAGGCUCUAUGUGGAAGCGCAGUAAUGCGUGAAGCAGAGGAGUACUAAUAGACCGAGGGCUUGACC